rnacentral:rRNA from 1 species
CAAGGUCUUCCGUAUGGUGUAACCUUCGUGAGGGAUCAAUUACACUACUAUAUAUGAAGGCCUGGCUUCGCGGCCGGCUGAAAUAUUUUUUUCACCCAUGUCUUUUGCGCACUUGUUGUUUCCUGGGCGGGUUCGCCCGCCACCAGGACCAAACCAUAAACCUUUUUUUUUAUGCAGUUGCUAUCAGCGUCAGUAAAAACAAUGUAAUUAUUACAACUUUCAACAACGGAUCUCUUGGUUCUGGCAUCGAUGAAGAACGCAGCGAAAUGCGAUACGUAGUGUGAAUUGCAGAAUUCAGUGAAUCAUCGAAUCUUUGAACGCACAUUGCGCCCUUUGGUAUUCCAAAGGGCAUGCCUGUUCGAGCGUCAUUUGUACCUUCAAGCUUUGCUUGGUGUUGGGCGUUUUUGUCUCUUUCUGGGAGACUCGCCUUAAAACGAUUGGCAGCCGGCCUACUGGUUUCGGAGCGCAGCAACAUAUUUUGCGCUUUGUAUCAGGAGAAAAGGACGGUAAUCCAUCAGGACUCUACAAUCUUUAAACUUUUUGACCUCGGAUCAGGUAGGGAUACCCGCUGAACUUAAGCAUAU